rnacentral:pre_miRNA from 1 species
GGGGCCCAAAUGGAGCUCCCUCCACUUCAACUCUGAAAGGAGGUGAUGGUAGACCACGACUGCUAGUUCAUGAAUGCCCCUGGAUGCGCACGAUAAUGUUGAGUGUACGCAUACUAAGGGUUUGCAUGAGAUAGGAGACGAGACUACCUUGAACUUUUUGGUAUUGGAGUGAAGGGAGCUCCUAAUGGUCUUCCU